AUGGAGGUCCUCCCAUCCCGCCGCCGCAUUAGGCACCCCCCACCGCCGGCACAGGGUUGUACGGGAGGAGAUGACCUCAUCAGCACGCUCCCGGACGACAUGCUCCUCCAGAUCCUCACGCGCCUCGGCUGCGCUCGUGCCGCCGCACGCACCGGUGUCCUCGCGCGCCGGUGGCGCAACCUCUGGAUCCAUCUCCCCAGGCUCAUCUUCCACGACGUCUCGGCCAGCAAGGUCCAGGCGGCGCUCACCCGCGUCGCGCGUCUCCGUGCAGGUAUGUCCAUCUCCGCCCUCGACAUCCGCCUCGCGAGGAGUGUGCCACUGGAGGCUGCCAGGCACGACGAUGCGCUUGCCAAGAAGUUGUUGCGCAAGGCCGUGCGGCUCUCGCCGGAGGAGCUCAUCUUCGUGCUCCCCCGGUCUUCUAUAAGCAAGCCUGGCCGUCGCGUCGAAAACGCCAUGCCUUGCUUCCUCCGCGCCACCUCCAUCGAGCUGGACACAUACUUCCUCCGGAUCCAGCCGCCGGACAACCAGAUCCUUCCUGCGCUCGAGAGGCUCUCUCUCUCUCCGGAAACAUUGUCGACAUUGGCGCAUGUCUCAACAAGUGCCCGCGCCUGCGCGUGCUCAGGGUCACCUUCCGUGGGGUCUCGCAUGUCUUGCUCGAAGAGUCGCUCACCGCACUAG
rnacentral:rRNA from 1 species